UUAGUGGCGAACGGGUGAGUAACGCGUGAGUAACCUGCCCUGGAGUGGGGGACAACAGUUGGAAACGACUGCUAAUACCGCAUAAGCCCACGGAUCCGCAUGGAUCUGCGGGAAAAGGAUUUAUUCGCUUCAGGAUGGACUCGCGUCCAAUUAGCUGGUUGGUGAGGUAACGGCCCACCAAGGCGACGAUUGGUAGCCGGACUGAGAGGCUGAACGGCCACAUUGGGACUGAGACACGGCCCAGACUCCUACGGGAGGCAGCAGUGGGGGAUAUUGCACAAUGGGGGAAACCCUGAUGCAGCGACGCCGCGUGGAGGAAGAAGGUUUUCGGAUUGUAAACUCCUGUCGUUAGGGACGAUAAUGUCGGUACCUAACAAGAAAGCACCGGCUAACUACGUGCCAGCAGCCGCGGUAAAACGUAGGGUGCAAGCGUUGUCCGGAAUUACUGGGUGUAAAGGGAGCGCAGGCGGACCGGCAAGUUGGAAGUGAAAACUAUGGGCUCAACCCAUAAAUUGCUUUCAAAACUGCUGGCCUUGAGUAGUGCAGAGGUAGGUGGAAUUCCCGGUGUAGCGGUGGAAUGCGUAGAUAUCGGGAGGAACACCAGUGGCGAAGGCGACCUACUGGGCACCAACUGACGCUGAGGCUCGAAAGCAUGGGUAGCAAACAGGAUUAGAUACCCUGGUAGUCCAUGCCGUAAACGAUGAUUACUAGGUGU
rnacentral:rRNA from 1 species